CAUACAAGAAAAUGCAAAUAAUAUAACAACUAUACAUCUUACCCUUAAGGAACAAAAUGUGGCAAAUCAGUUAGACCCCAUGCAUACACACCCUGCUUCCCUCCACCCCCACUCUCCCAGGGAACCACUAUUCUGACCAGCAGUUUGUUAUUUCCAUGCAUUUUCUUCUUUACUAUGUAUAUAUGCAUCCCUUAAAAAAUGUGUUGUUCUGCAUGUUUUUAGGUUUAGAGAAGUGUAUUAUAAUGCAGUCUUCUGCAAUUAGCUUUUUUCUGUUCACCACUGUCACAGUCAUGUACUUUGUUCCGUGCAGCUCUCUGAAAUAUUCAUUGCGCUGUGUGAUUACACCAAUCUUAUCUUUUCUCAUGUUGAUGGCUCUUUAGGGUCUUCCCAAUGUUUUCCUAUUACAAAACACACUGUAAUAACCACUCUCUUAUGGUCCACAAACAAGUGCAGGACCUCUCAGAGACCACAGCUCGCUAGGGAUAUAUAUGCAGGGUCACAAUCGGACUAUUUCACCAUUACUCCAUGUGGGAAGCACGCCAGGUCCCCGGACAGUCAAAGCCAAUGGGAGCACAGAGGCCUUGUUAUCAAUACACCAGAAUGGCCAACGGCCGCUCUGGGCAUGAGCCUAAUUGGAAAGUCCAAGGACUCGGAGCCUGGGAAUCCUAAUCAGGCCAAGAUACCAUGAGUGGGUGCAAGGACACAUGGUACACUGUGCCCUUCAGUAGUCAAUAAGAUUGAUGUAACUACUGGCACAAAGCCUUCUUUGUCUAAAUGGUAUAAAAGUAGGUUACUGACCAGCUAGUCUGCUGGAGUAUGGAGAGAGAGCAGCUAAGAUGAAGUGUGAGAAGAAGUGUGUUAGAGAGAGAGCAGCGGGGCAGGAGAGACAGGAGAAGCUGCUGAGCCGGAGAGCUCAAGUACCGCUACGAUGGGAGGCGGUGAGUCUAGAAGGCAGCGUGCGGCUGCUCAGAUAAUGACUGUGGGGACAGAGACUGAUGCUGCUUCUGGGGGAAAGACGAACUGGAGUGGCAUCGAAGACACAGGGAAUGGCCUCUAACCGUGGUGCUUGCUACCUGUCCCCACGACUCCCAUGCCACAGCUGUGAGACCCGAGGUUAACACCAGCCCCAAAGCAGCCACAGGUAGGCCAGUCAGUGACCCAUAAGGGGACCCACGUGACAGCUCUGUCUGGGGCACUGCACACUGGAAGGUGACGGACCAAGCCAAUCAAAGCCUUUCUUCUGGGAAGGGAACCUCUCACAGACACUACAGGCUGGCUGUCCUCUGAGCACCCCCAUCGCCUUCACAGCCGGCCUCAACCUCAGAGACAAGGAAGGCGGGUAUCAACCAGAUGCCUUUGCAACAAGGGUGGCCAGAUGACCCAGUUCUGACUUCUAACAUAAACAGAAGCCUGCCGAGUAGACUCCUGGGAAAAGGACAGCUUUCCUGAUAAAAAGGGACAAACACGCUCCUAGUCUUUCACCCAUAGCUCUUUCCCCAUCUUCCUUCUCUGAAAGCAGAUGUUAGGAGUAGCAGCAACCAUCUUGCAAACAUAAGACAAGUUUGAGAUCAAAAGUCAAGACACUAAGAACUGUGGAGAGGAAACACAUAGCAGGCCUGGGUCCCUCACGCUCUGCUGGGCAGCUGAACCAAUGGCUGCAACUGCUACUCCACACAGUCCCUUACUGAGAAGAACAAAAGCUCUUAGUGUAAGCCAUUAGGGCUGAGUUUUCUGUUACUUGUAGCCAAUGGCAUCCCAAGUCAUACAACCACUUUGUUAGUAACAGGAGGAAGGGGGACUGACAAGUGCAGCGGCUGUUAGGGAAACCCGGGAAAUGCCAAGCACCAGAUCUAACUGGGAAACCAGCUGCGGUUCUCCCAGAAGCUUUGAAUUCUUAAGAUGUUCUCUCUUCCUCACUUGCCUUUGGGGCCAAGAGAUCCAGAUUUCGGUUCCAAUUCCACCAUUUCCUAGCUAAGUAACUUUAAGCAAGAUACUUACCCUCUCUAAGCCUCUGUUUC